CACUUCGAAAACUCACAAAAUUUGCGAAAAAAAACAAACAGAGCGUUUUCUAAUUUAUUUCAUGCAACUUUUUAACUUUUAACUUUUACGCUAUCGGCAUUUUUUAUUAAAAUGUUUUUUUUUUUCAAAAAUUUACUUAUAUAAAUAACAUAUACGUAUUAUGCAAAAUUUCGAAUUUUGGUCAGAGCCACAAAAGUGGUUUCUUCGCCACUUAAAAAAAAAAAAAAGAAUGGAAAUGUCUGCUCGGGUGAGAAUUUUUGUUAGUAUUUUUCACAUAAUUUUUCAAAAUUUCCGUAUAAUUUUCAAACUUUAUAGAAAUUUUAUUAGACCUUUUUUACACGAACUGAAACACUUCUAGAAUUCAUUACAUAUGCUGAUCAAUUCUGAAAUAUUCUAAGAGUCUAUUCUCAUUUUGAAGAAAACUUGGAAAAUUUACAGAAAUUUGUUUUUCUUUUAGGACGACGUUUAAAAAUAAAGAAAAGUCAACGGUUUGAAAAUAACGCAAGUCCAACGCAAAUUAUUCGACGACACUCGUAUUAUACGAGGUGAGCUGAGGUGAUGUGACUCGAGAUAAGUUGACAGUCAGUAACGUUUGUCCACCUGGACAGGUCUUUGUCUGCUUGGACUGACGUUGUCAGAAUCGCGCGCGAUGUACAAUGCACGUACCAUUAUUUGCGCUACGAUAUUCGCGCCGCGUGUGAUUCGUAAUGACACGUUGACGGCCGUGCGCGACAAUAGAAUGAGGAAGAGGAAGACGGACCUCUGUUAACAUUAUUAGAUAUCUCGAUGAUGUAACUGGCGUAUGCAUCGCUUAUACGCGUACAUCGUCAUGCCGCCGUUAUUCUUUCAUUUUGCAAUAAAGACAAGAGCGCUAAUUGCGCAUUUGUUGAUUUUUUUAUAGUCGAACAACAACCGGGCGCGUCGUGCAGCCGCCCGCCGAAUCGCAUUUGUCAAUCGCGCGGAUAUUACGCGCGAGGAGCUCGCGUUCUCGAGUAUCGAUGGGACGAUUGUUCCACUUACGGGGACCCUCGUUAUCUUACGCAACGCGGACGAUUAUGUCAUUCGCCCGAGAGUGUCGCACCUCAUUGAACCUAGAUUAUGUCACGCGGCGCGUAUUGCACUUACGCGGAUGAGAGAGGAGAGGGUUCACGAGCGCAGGGACAUCGGCGGCUGGAAGGCAACUUCCGCUCGCGAGCGUUAUCUCAAUCUUGAGCUACCAUUGAUGGUCGUCGCGGCGGCGCGCGGCGACGCUUUCACCAGGCCGUACCGGUCGUUCGCUGUGCGGAAAACGUUGCAUACGCAACACGCGCGUGGCCGUCGAUCGAUUGUCAGUUUGAGUGCGCUGUCUGGUAAACAGGUAGAGCGCAUUAAGUCGUUCUGUUCGCGAUUUGUCGGGAUCAAUGAGCGUGGCACGAGAGAGCGUUAACGUUAAGUUAUUCACUUGCGGAAACGCAAGUCGGUAGUGCCGACUUGAAACGUCCUUAUCGCGGAAAAAAAGUGGUUCGCGAAGCGAUCGAUUUCUGCACGAAGAUAAGAGGAAAUUGAAGAUCCGAUGACAUCUCUCUCUCUCUCUCUCUCUCUCUCUCUCUCUCUCUCUCUCUCUCUCUCUCUCUCUCUCUCUUUCUUUCACCGUAACGUUGUGAAAUUAAGACCGGAGUUUCUCAUUAUCGUUCAAGGUAAAUUAUCCGAGUUAAUUAUAUUUUCAACGACCGGCAUCGGGAAUGGGAUAUCUCGUAGUGGAGGGGAAGGAAGGAAGGAAGGAGGAGGAGGAGGAGGAGGAAGAGAAGGAAAGACGGAAUGCAACGAGAGGAGCAAAGAUAAUUCGAAACCUGUUGCGGAACGAAUAUGGGCAACCGCGUGGAAUGUCGUAUACGGUAUUUUCUGCAUUCCCCAAACGAGCAGCUGCGUACCGAGGGGGAGCUUCUCUUUCCCGAUCUCCGUUUCGAUCGGCCGUUUCAAUGAGUCACGCAUAAUGGACACGGUGUAAACGUGGUGCGCUCCGCGCCGCUUUAUUUCGCCGUUCGACGAAAAGUUGUGUACGGAAACAAAUUGCUCUAUCACGUCAGAGAUGUUUUGAAGAAAUUUGCAGUCAAAAUUGCAAAAAAAGGGCUGUUCCAGUGGGCACUCUGGCAUGUUGUAAUGCGAUAUGCAUUCGGGCUGCUCGAUCGAACGAUUGCUCACGGCCUUUUUUUGCUUCCGCAUCUCCGCUUUCCCUCUACUUCCGCAGCGCAUAUCCUAGAGGCGAAACGCGUUCAAACGUUCGUCGUGACUUACUUUUAUUAUGUCUUUCAGUAAACGACAUUGAUGCGGUAAUUGCCGCGUUACGUUAGGAAAGUCUCGUGUGUUAAUGUCAAUCUCUCUCUCGAUUCGGUUGUUUCUUUAUCAAUCGCUCGCGUUGCACAUGGUGACGAUCGCAGUACAGAGGAUCAAGAUUACAGUCGUGAUAGAUCUCGAGCUCUGUUCUCGGUUCGUUCGAAAAUUACAGAGAUUGUUUUUUUUUUCCGUGCCUUUUAUUGCUCGCGGUGCUCUCGGCUCUCGGAAGCUGUCACGAGGUGGGUCGAAAGAAAACCGGUUUUCUCUUUCUCCUCCCCCCCGCCCUCCCCACCCUUCUUUCUUUCUCUUUCUUUUCUUCUUUCUUUCUUUCCUUCGGUCGAGUCCCGCAUUUCACCGUUUUGCUUUGGGUAUUAAAUAAUUAUUAUUUCGAAAGCGGACAAGCGUAUAUGUAACCGCGGCGCCAGUCGACAUGAGGAAAGGAGAGGCGCCGUGUAUAUAAUUGUGUGACCCAGAUUCGGCGUCCUUCCCUGCGGCAAUGCUGUACCAUUUCCUGUAUAUCCCUCGCGUUCUCUCUUUCAUCUCUCUCUCUCUCUCUCUCUCUCUCUCUCUCUCUCUCUCUCUCUCUCGUUUCCGGCAAGUUCGUCUAGGCUCUCACGAUUGCAACGAUGCGGUAAUUCUACGCUGAGCUCCUUAUUUCGGAACGGAUGCUCGAACGCAACAGGAAUUCCGGGGAAAAAAUCUUCAUAUCAAGGAUCAAAUUACAGAUUAAGUUAUAUCGGAGCAGAUCUAAUUCUAUCAAUCGGUUUGUAAAAUUAGAUCUGCUCUGAUAUAAUUUGAUCUAUUUUAAUGUGAAGAUUUUUAUAUAUCUACGAAACGUGAUCUUCCGUCUCGUGUUAUGAUACAACCGAUGCGAACAACGACGAACCGUCGCGUUUCCUCGCGACACGAAAACGACAUCACCCCCCCCGGAUAAUUUUUUCGGUCUUCAUCUCGUCUUUUCUUUCUCGCAGUACAUUUUCCGAUAUAUCUUUACGAUUUUCCUCUCUUACGCGAGCAACCGGACGCCGUAACUGAUUGCACAGGAAACAUAUCGCACGCACUUUGUCGCUCCGCAGAAACCAAGUGUUUUUUUUUUGCGGCAUUCGCAUCGCUUACGAGUCCAUAUAUCGAUUCCCAUGUCGCACGAGAAAGCGAUCUUGAACCUGAAACCGAUUUGGAAUUGUUGCACAAUCUCGAUUAGAAAUGACGCGUUGCGACAUGACACUCGCAGAUUUUUUCGCAAGAACGUAGCAUCGGGCAUGUUCCUCCAUUAAUUAAUUCGCACGUAAUCAUCUGGGACAAUCUAAACGAGCUUGACAUAAUUAAAUAAUGGACAGACUGUUUCGAAAAUGUCAAAAUCCUGAGGGGGUGAAAGUUUACGAGAGAAACAUAUUUUUAUUUUGUAUAUAACUGAUAUUAAAAUAUCAUUUAUCAUUUAUCAUUCGAUUGAUUAGUCAUCAAUUAACUGUUAUGUGCACACCCAGCGUUUACCACGUUGUUACACACCCAGAGUACCUGGGUGCCCACCAUUAGUUUUUCUUAAUUCCUGACUUUGUAUGUGAACGUAAUCGUUUGGAAUCAAUUUACUUUAUUAAAUAAACAUCAAUAGAAACUAUCUAAGCCAUUUCCAAGUCUCCCAGCCUGUUACAGCUUUCAAGAAAAAAAAAAUAGAAGUAGGGUCUCCGAGCGCUGCGCAGGUAGCGCGCGGUCAGUUUUGACGAAAUGUCGAUUGAUAUUGAAUUAUCGAGUAGUUAAUAUUUAGAGCAUAUACUCCAAAUAAAAUCGAUUAUUAUGUGUAGACACAGUUAAAUCGACAUCUACAGGUUUUUCAGCUGCAUGCUCAUUCAUUAAACUUAACGCAAAUGUGUUUGCGCGUAUGUUAGUUGUGUUAGGACUUGUUCUAUGAUUUUGUACUGUAAAGCAAUUGACAAUUAGCAAUUAGUUAUUAUUUUAUAAAGCGAAGAUAUCACAUCAGGUAGAAUAAUUCACAGCAUACGAACAGCGUCGCAACAGCAUAUUUUUUGUAAUAGUUAGUUUUUACAAUUUUUACACAUUACCUAUGCAAAACUAUUUCUUUAUGCAGAUAUAUCGGAAAUAAUAAAUAUUAAUUAAUUUAAAACCUGUUUAUUUUACACAACAUUAAUGUUAAUAUUAAUAGUAAAAACAAACUAUAAUGAUGCCAAUUAAUUUGACGAAAUGUUUGCGAAUUUUAACCGACUCAACCUCGAGACAGUAUUGGUAGAAAACAAAAUAAUUAUAAUUAUUAAUUAUAAUUGAUUAAAUGUAUUGAUUGCACUAAAUAAAUGUAAGUAUAAUCUAA